AUGAACGCUGGCGGCGUGCCUUAUACAUGCAAGUCGAGCGAACGGACGAGAAGCUUGCUUCUCUGAUGUUAGCGGCGGACGGGUGAGUAACACGUGGAUAACCUACCUAUAAGACUGGGAUAACUUCGGGAAACCGGAGCUAAUACCGGAUAAUAUUUUGAACCGCAUGGUUCAAAAGUGAAAGACGGUCUUGCUGUCACUUAUAGAUGGAUCCGCGCUGCAUUAGCUAGUUGGUAAGGUAACGGCUUACCAAGGCAACGAUGCAUAGCCGACCUGAGAGGGUGAUCGGCCACACUGGAACUGAGACACGGUCCAGACUCCUACGGGAGGCAGCAGUAGGGAAUCUUCCGCAAUGGGCGAAAGCCUGACGGAGCAACGCCGCGUGAGUGAUGAAGGUCUUCGGAUCGUAAAACUCUGUUAUUAGGGAAGAACAUAUGUGCAAGUAACUGUGCACAUCUUGACGGUACCUAAUCAGAAAGCCACGGCUAACUACGUG
rnacentral:rRNA from 1 species